rnacentral:rRNA from 1 species
GGGGAAUAUUGGACAAUGGGGGGAACCCUGAUCCAGCCAUGCCGCGUGUGUGAAGAAGGCCCUCGGGUUGUAAAGCACUUUCAGCGGGGAAGAAGGCGUGGUGGUUAAUAGCCGCCACGAGCGACAUCACCCGCAGAAGAAGCACCGGCUAACUCCGUGCCAGCAGCCGCGGUAAUACGGAGGGUGCAAGCGUUAAUCGGAAUUACUGGGCGUAAAGCGCGCGUAGGUGGCGUGUCACGCCGGGUGUGAAAGCCCCGGGCUCAACCUGGGAAUGGCAUCCGGAACGGGCAGGCUAGAGUGCAGGAGAGGAAGGUGGAAUUCCCGGUGUAGCGGUGAAAUGCGUAGAGAUCGGGAGGAAUACCAGUGCCGAAGGCGGCCUUCUGGACUGACACUGACACUGAGGUGCGAAAGCGUGGGUAGCAAAC